rnacentral:lncRNA from 1 species
GAUCUUGACAGGCCAUCUUUCUCUUCAAGCAGAAAUGUAUUUAAGAGACUCUGAACAGAUAAAUAUCUAUCCUAGGGAUGGAAAUGGAAUUUUGUCCCCCCUAAGGGAGCCCUAAAUAUAUUUCAGCUAGUUCAUUUGCAUGAGUCAUUUACAUUGAUUUCCAUGAACCAUUCCUGGGUCUCUGUUCGCCAUAUAACCCCUGACUUAACAA